AAUGCUAACGGCACUGAAAAGUAAACCAUUUUUUAUUCCAUGUUUUAUACAUUCUACAUUGUCUGUUUCCUCUUCAUCCACCGUGUUUGAAGGUUGCUGAAGGAUUGCAUAUUUUCUCAUAAGUUGUUUGUAUUCAGACUUAGCAGGUGAUGGAAAAAAUUGCUUUCGUAGAUUUGGCUGUCUUGGUUUCCGACCUGGCAAGUGGAACGCUCUAAGACUCUGCUGAGACGUCACGCCCAGCUCCGACAUCCAACUUCCGAGACAUCAAACUGCGGCGUUUUGCUGUGAUCAGCGCGGGAGAAGAGGCGAGAGCUGUGGCAGGACUACUCAGGUGGCAUGGUGAUGCCGGUGGCGCUCUUCCAAGAUGCAGAGCGGGCACAGACACAGCGUAAAGGUGGCAUGGUGAUGCCGGUGGCGCUCUUCCAAGAUGCAGAUCGGGCACGGACACAGCGUAUAGAGGGUCCCUUGCGAGAGAUGGGCAUCGCCACCACCCGUCGACUGGUGCUGAAGAAAGGUGCGAUGGCCGAGCUUCAGGUUGUACAG